rnacentral:rRNA from 1 species
AUUGAACGCUGGCGGUAUGCUUAACACAUGCAAGUCGAACGAUGAGAAAGAGCUUGCUCUUUCGAUUAGUGGCGGACGGGUGCGUAACGCGUAGGAAUCUACCUAUUCGUGGGGGACAACUUAGGGAAACUUAAGCUAAUACCGUAUACGCACUACGGGGGAAAGAAGGGGAUCGCAAGAACUUUUGAUAAUAGAUGAGCCUGCGUAGGAUUAGCUAGUUGGUGGGGUAAAAGCUAACAAAGGCGACGAUCCUUAACUGGUUUGAGAGAAUGAUCAGUCACACUGGGACUGAGACACGGUACAGACUCCUACGGGAGGCAGCAGUGGGGAAUAUUGGACAAUGGGCGCAAGCCUGAUCCAGCCAUGCCGCGUGCGGGAGGAAGGCCUUCGGGUUGUAAACCGCUUUUGUCAGGGAAGAAAAGGCUCCUGUUAAUACCGGGGGCUCAUGACGGUACCUGAAGAAUAAGCACCGGCUAACUACGUGCCAGCCGCCGCCGUAA